rnacentral:lncRNA from 1 species
GCGAGAGUUUACUUUUGCUCGGAUAAAUUAUACUCUUAAACUUUUAAAAUUAUUCAUUUUACCUCUCAAAUGCGGUUUUCAAAUGCGUUUUGUCUUUUUAUUUUUUAUUUAUUUUGGUUGAAUCUUUGAAAAUCAUAGUAAAUUAUAGAAAAAUCAUAAAAUAGAAAAUCUAAUUUUGUUGGACUCCACAUGAGUAAAUCUGCACAGUGAAUAUAUAAUAUAAUAUAUUUUAAUAUACUUUUUUCUAUAGCUUUAGAUUUAUGCUUUUCUGUAAUUAAUUUAUAGUUGCAAUCUCCAUGAUCUAAUUGUGGUGAAGGUUUAUAGUGGACUAAUUAUUGUAUGCUUAAACUGGAGUAAAAUUUUAAUACUCAUUGGGUCAUAUAUAACUUAGUUAUAGAUUUAUUUAAGUAGUUAUAGAUUUAUUUAGAUGCAUUCAUUGUAGAUACUAAAUAGAUGUAUUUGAAUCAGUUUUUGAUGUUUUCCUUUCUCUCACUCUAGAUACAUAGGACUGCUUUUUCUUUAUUCGUGAAGGAUAUAAUACUAGAUGAAACCAUCUAAAAAUUAUUCGUUUGAUUAAUGACUUACUGAUAUUGUAAUCUUACUAAUUGCGGCUUUAAAACUAUUUAAAGUAAUGACAAAUAAUAUCAAUUAUAUAUAAAUAUUAAAUUUUAUCAUUUUUAUAUAACUAAUGACACUAAGUUCUUAUGACCAA